GUGGGGAAUUUUGGACAAUGGGCGCAAGCCUGAUCCAGCAAUGCCGCGUGCAGGAAGAAGGCCUUCGGGUUGUAAACUGCUUUUGUACGGAACGAAACGGUCCUGGCUAAUAUCCGGGGCUAAUGACGGUACCGUAAGAAUACGCACCGGCUAACUACGUGCCAGCAGCCGCGGUAAUACGUAGGGUGCGAGCGUUAAUCGGAAUUACUGGGCGUACAGCGUGCGCAGGCGGUGCUGUAAGACAGGCGUGAAAUCCCCGGGCUCAACCUGGGAAUUGCGCUUGGGACUGCAGUGCUGGAGUGCGGCAGAGGGGGAUGGAAUUCCGCGUGUAGCAGUGAAAUGCGUAGAUAUGCGGAGGAACACCGAUGGCGAAGGCAAUCCCCUGGGCCUGCACUGACGCUCAUGCACGAAAGCGUGGGGAGCAAACAGGAUUAGAAACCCGGGUAUCC
rnacentral:rRNA from 1 species